GUGACGAUCGCACGAUGAAGUUGAACCGUAUCUAUGUGCAUCUUAAAUCACCUUUCGUUGGAAAGUUUUGGACUGACAAGUCUGUAUCUUUCGGCGACAUACGUCUAACAAAUAGAUUGGAAAAAAUGGAGAAUUUUAAGAUCAAACUUUCAACGUUCCAUAAGUAAAAAAUUGCUGUCGAGAUUAGUAGACAUAAAAUUUGUGGCGAGUGUGGUCAAAUGCAUUUGAUCAACGUCAAGUUUCCGUUGACCGAAUUUAUUGCUUUUACCAGUUACAGGAAUGACAAUCCUGCUCAAUUGAAGAUCGACAAAAAUCCAUCUUCAAAAAACCAUCGACAAAA